rnacentral:lncRNA from 1 species
AUUUAUUAAAGCCAGUGAGGCAUAACUAAGAGAAGGGAAAGGAACCGAGGAAAGAGAGAAUACAAUGGCCCUUCAGGUUUUAAUGGGAGAGAUGGCUGGCAGUGAUUCCUAAAUUAUUAAAUAAAUCGAUUCGAUUCUUGAAGCUGGCCUCCAAGGUGUAUUUGUCAGUUUCAUUAUCUUUGUCUUCAAGAGUGGGAAGAGUCACUCAUGGAGAAAGUUUUAUUAUUUUUUUCCCCUCUGUUUUAUUUUGAAGGCUGCAAUUCAUGGCCCCCUCUCUAAUUAAACACUCACUUCUUUAUGUAACAGGAGCCGUGCUCUUUUCAUUUUUAUUUCGGCUUCUGUUCUGAUCCUAUUUGUCUUACAGGCCCGCAGACGUGUAACAAGAUCGGGUCAGCUUUAGGGCACACACACUUUGGAGAAUCUUGAUCCCAUUUGAAUUAUAGGACCGUGUGGUCACAGACAUGUGCGGAUUAGGAAACAAGACGCAGAGAGACUCCGACCCGCUCAAGGUGAAAGUCCCAGUUGGUGGCUGAGCCAGCCAAGGAUGCCUGCGUCCUGACAUCCAGCCCUGAGCUCUUCUGAAGAUGAGGGGACUCUUAAGAAUACACAAUACUUCCAGGCUUUUUGUUCCGACAGAAGUAAGUUUGCAAAGCAGUUGUGGAGGACUCUCGGAAGAAGGGCAAACAGUCCCCGAGGGGGUGGAGCUGCUGGUUCCAGGAGCUCUGUUGCCAGCAAUUAUUAAUUCACUCCGGCUGGCGCUGUCUUGGGGGCCUCCCGCGCACAAUAGCAUUAGGAGCGUUGGCAGCUGCGGAGGGAGAAGGCCCGCUCCACCUGGGAAUGAGGAAGAUGUGACUCCUCGCAAGGUUGCUCUCCUCCCAGCUCCCGCUCUUGGGAGAGAUGAUCAGUGCUUGCGGGCCUGGGAGCAGGCUGCUGAGGACACAGUGUUCCCGGGGAUGGUGGCAGAUCUUGGAGAAGGGACAGAAGCUGGGCCAAGAGACUGGAACUUAUGCAAAUCAGGCCUGAGGAUGGUUCAAGGAGGGGGCAGCCCCUGCCUUAUGCCUCCCCCUCAGCAUACCCAGAACCAGACUCCUCGGGAGGAACAUCUUUUGUCUUCAAUGCUAAGCUUGUUCACGAGGAUGUGUGUGAGCAAAAUAUUGCUUAGGAAUGUGCACUCUGGAGCAGACUGUGUGGGUUCAAAUCCUGGCAUCAUCAUUAACCAGCUGUGUGACUCUGGGCAAGAAAAAUUGUGGAAGCUCUCUGACUUUUUUUUCAUCUGUAGGAUGGGAAUAAUAACACGUACCUCGUUAAUUAAAUGAGCAAUUACACACAAAAAACUUAGAAUUUGCAGAGAAUGUGGGAAGGCCUCCAUCAAUUAUCAUUUUUCUCCAUGGAGCUCCAUUGAGAGACAUAAUAUACUGUAAAGAGCUUGGCUUUGGAGAAAGACAGAGCUGGGUUCCAAGUCCUGCCUCUGCCGUUGCCCUGCUGCAUAACUUUGGGCAAGAUGCUUAGCUUCUCAAUGCCCAAUUUUCUCAUCAACAAAAUGGAGCCACUGAUAUUUACAGCAUUAUCCCAAGGCAUAGAAAUGAUGCAUCCGAAGCCCCUGACCCAUGGCGCUGGGAAAAUAGGUUUGGAAUUUGAUGAACUGCCUGCUGCUGGCUCCUCUGUUUUCUGGCAUCAAGGUUCCUCAAUAGUGGACUCAACAGUUGCAUUUUUCACCUACAAAAGAAUUGCUAUCAGAAAACCAGACAGCGGAUAAUUGUAUUUUGUGAAUUGACAGUGAAGCCACUCGGUUUCAGCCCAGGUCCAAAGGCUGAGGAUGUUCACCCAGGAGAAAUGGUUUGUGCGAGAGAAUUCAUUUCUGAGUACUCAUUUUUACUGGAGGAAACAGGGUUGCUUGGAUUUUUUUUUUUUUUAUUCUUCUUCAACAUGUAGGCAGAAGGUUCAGAAUCCCUAACAGCUCUGGCGACCCCUGCUGUGUCAGUGUGAAUGCAAGAUGCCAAGUAAGACUGGAGGCUCCAGCUUCAACCAGAGCCUCAUCCAUCUCUUCAAACCUACCAGGGAAGGAAAUAAAAAUAUGUGCCCAUAAAUUUCCUCCUUGACGGGCAGCAAAUGCGCUGGCCUCCUGCCACCUGACAGUGAAACGUGAAGCUGGGGAGUGUCUCCCUGCAAGCGCACCUAGGGCUGCUCCCGCCCCCUUCUGGAGCAGGAUCAAAAUGCUUCCCCAGAAGUGCGCCAGCUGCCCUUGUGGGCCAGGCCCAGCCAUCCAAAGCUGCCGAAGAGCAACUUGGCUUCCUUUCCCUUCUCCCACUUGGACCACCAGGAUGCCUCUGCAGUUUUUUGGACUCCUGUUUUGACCAAUUAUCCCAAUUAACUUGAGCAAGAUAGAAGGAGAGACCUAUACCCCCCUCUUUGUCCGAGAAAAAAUGCACCAAGGGAGAGAGAAUGAAGACAAGACUAUGAAUCUGUUCCCUGCACACAUCGAACUCAUUCCUAUCUCUGCGCAUGCUGUUCAACCCACUGGGAACACGCUUUCUUCUCCCAUCAGCACCCAUUUACCUAAAUUUUAUUCAUUCUUCAAGACUCAUUAAAUCCCGUCUGCUUCAUGAAGAUUUUUUAUCUGUGAGUUCACUCCCUCCACUGUCUCUUACUGUACCUGCAAUCUGUCCCAGAGUUUAAUGUGACUAUAGACAUGCUUGUGUUUCUUCUCUCCUCCCUGCUUCCCUCCUGUGCCCUGCACAGUGCUGGUCCAUUAUAAGCUUCAAGAAAUGUUUGUUGAUUGACACAUUAAAGAGAUGAACUGAACCUCGCUCUCUUUUC